UAGAAUAAUAUAGUGUAAUUUCUGUAUACACGAUAUUACUAUAUUUCACCCUUAUAUUUAUAUUAUGGGUACGAAUAUCGAGCUUAGUCAACAAAAAUAAGCCACAUCUGGACGAACAUUGACGGGGUAUAAAGAGCCCCGCCAGCCUACGUCGGCGGCCUAGUGGACGCACAUGGCCAAGACAGUGACCGUCGGGUGAUCCGACGGAUGCACGUGGUCAAGACGGCACAUUCCGGUAUACGACGCGCAGGAUCCGCUCCAAGAUCGACCCUUUUCUUUAUACAUAUGUGUGUAUAUCAAUCAGCGAACCAGUUCGGUAUUGCGCGCGUCGAACGGUGUAGGUGGGGGUGGCCGUCGAUGGCCAUAAUUUUGGACACUUGACCGCUGUCCACCCAAUAUUGAAUCAGUCCUAUUUUCUCUACAGCACAAAACAGACCUCUCCAGAUAUUAUCAGUCACCAGCUCAAGUCAUAAAUAUUACAACACCUCCGUACGAAUAAAUUCUAACUUCAUAACCUAAUAUACAUCAUCCAUAGCUCUACCCGCGGUCUAUAACUACUAUACAAUAUAAAAUUCUGAAUUCAUUCUCUCAAAUCAAUAUUAUAUUGACGAAUAUUCUCGCCCGCACAACAUAGACCUAUCCGUCUAACGUCAGCCGACAAGUUCUGAAUAUUCACCAUCACCACUCAAAUAAACAUACUAUGCCAUUUCUCCAGUCACUAAAGAGUCAGGCAAAUAAGGUGAACCUCUCGAUCGGGGAACUACGUAAAAACGUUCCGUACCCUGUAACGUCGAUGAAAAAUGUCGGCACUAAAUUCGGGACUGCAGUGUUGUGCACAUUGAGAGAUCCCGAGGGCUUUGGUUCGAUCAACGUUUUUCUGCCCAAGGCGAUCAAGAUGGACGAUGUGGACAUCGAGACGUACAAUCUAGGUGUUGUACCUUCGGUCAGCUUAAUUUAUAAGGGGCUGAAUGGAAGGAGUUUCAUCAUAGACUUUGAAUGAUAUAAUAUAUAGACAAACUCUUCUAUGAAUGAUUACAAUUUAUUUUCUAUUA
rnacentral:lncRNA from 1 species